rnacentral:rRNA from 1 species
GAACUGCGAAUGGCUCAUUACACCAGCCUUAAUUUACUUGACCUUGACACCCUACUUGGAUAACUGUGGUAAUUCUAGAGCUAAUACAUGCACCAAAGCUCCAAUCUCCCCAGAGCGGAGCGCAUUUGUUCGCCACAAAACCAAGCGCCUCAGGGCGUUCAGUGUUGACUCAGAACAACUAAGCUGAUCGCACGGUCUUGCACCGGCGACGUGUCUUUCAAGUGUCUGCCUUAUCAACUUUCGAUGGUAGUGUAUCUGACUACCAUGGUGAUGACGGGUAACGGAGGAUAAGGGUUCGACUCCGGAGAAGGGGCCUGAGAAAUGGCCACUACGUCUAAGGAUGGCAGCAGGCGCGCAAAUUACCCACUCUCGACGCGAGGAGGUAGUGACGAGAAAUAACGAGACCGUUCUCAUCUGAGGCCGGUCAUCGGAAUGGGUACAAUUUAAACCCUUUAACGAGUAUCUAUGAGAGGGCAAGUCUGGUGCCAGCAGCCGCGGUAAUUCCAGCUCUCAAAAUGCAUAGAAUUAUUGCUGCGGUUAAAAAGCUCGUAGUUGGAUCUGUGCUGAGCGACCGGUCUGCCCACUGGGCACGCACUGGCUCGCCCGGCUUUCCCUGCCGGUCUCUCUCUGACGUUGGUUUUAACCGGCUGGCGUCAGUGGGCUGGCGAGUUUACUUUGAACAAAUCAGAGUGCUUCAAACAGGCGUCUCGCCUGAAUGUUCGUGCAUGGAAUAAUAGAAGAGGAUCACGGUCCGAUUUUAUUGGUUUUGCUGACCGAGAUAAUGGUUAACAGAGACAAACGGGGCCAUUCGUAUUGCUACGUGAGAGGUGAAAUUCUUGGACCGUAGCAAGACGGACUACAGCGAAAGCAUUUGGCAAGAAUGUCUUCAUUAAUCAAGAACGAAAGUCAGAGGUUCGAAGGCGAUCAGAUACCGCCCUAGUUCUGACCGUAAACGAUGCCAACUAGCGAUCCGCCGGCGGAUUCAUUCGCCCUGGUGGGGAGCUUCCCGGAAACGAAAGUCUUCCGGUUCCGGGGGAGGUAUGGUUGCAAAGCUGAAACUUAAAGGAAUUGACGGAAGGGCACCACCAGGAGUGGAGCCUGCGGCUUAAUUUGACUCAACACGGGGAAACUCACCCGGCCCGGACACCGUAAGGAUUGACAGAUUGAUAGCUUUUUCAUGAUUCGGUGGAUGGUGGUGCAUGGCCGUUCUUAGUUCGUGGAGCGAUUUGUCUGGUUUAUUCCGAUAACGAGCGAGACUCUGGCCUACUAAAUAGUUGGCACAUUGCCACUGUGUGCACAACUUCUUAGAGGGAUUUCGGGUUCAGCCGCACGAAAUUGAGCAAUAACAGGUCUGUGAUGCCCUUAGAUGUCCGGGGCUGCACGCGCGCUACACUGGCAAAAUCAGCGUGCUUGUCCUCCCCCGAAAGGGGUUGGUAAACCGAUGAAAAUUUGCCGUGAUUGGGAUCGGACAUUGCAAUUAUUGUCCGUGAACGAGGAAUCCCUUGUAAGGGCGAGUCAUCAACUCGUCCUGAAUACGUCCCUGCCCUUUGUACACACCGCCCGUCGCUGCCCGGGACUGAGCCAUUUCGAGAAAACCGGGGAUUGUUGGCCUGACGGCUCUCGGGUCGUCUAGCCGAUGAGAACCGGCUUAAUCGCACUGGUUUGAACCGGGCAAAAGUCGUAACAAGGUAGCUGUAGGUGAACCUGCAGAAGGAUCA